CCUACGGGUGGCAGCAGUGAGGAAUAUUGGUCAAUGGACGCAAGUCUGAACCAGCCAAGCCGCGUGCGGGAAGACGGCUCUAUGAAUUGUAAACUGCUUUUAUACGAGGGUAAACGGAGAGACGCGUAUCUUUCUGAAAGUAGCGUACGAAUAAGGAUCGGCUAAAUCCGUGCCAGCAGCCGCGGUAAUACGGAGGAUUCAAGCGUUAUCCGGAUUUAUUGGGUUUAAAGGGUGCGUAUGCGGCCGUGUAAGUACGCGGUGAACGCCCGAGGCUCAACCUCAGAAUUGCCUCUGAUACUGUUCGGCUAGAGUAUAUUUGCGGUAGGCGGAAUGUAUGGUGUAGCGGUGAAAUGCUUAGAGAUCAUACAGAACACCGAUUGCGAAGGCAGCUUACCAAGCUACUUCUGACGUUGAGGCACGAAAGCGUGGGGAGCAAACAGGAUUAGAUACCCGGGUAGUC
rnacentral:rRNA from 1 species